rnacentral:rRNA from 1 species
GAUGAACGCUGGCGGCGUGCCUAAUACAUGCAAGUCGAGCGAACGGACGAGAAGCUUGCUUCUCUGAUGUUAGCGGCGGACGGGUGAGUAACACGUGGAUAACCUACCUAUAAGACUGGGAUAACUUCGGGAAACCGGAGCUAAUACCGGAUAAUAUUUUGAACCGCAUGGUUCAAAAGUGAAAGACGGUCUUGCUGUCACUUAUAGAUGGAUCCGCGCUGCAUUAGCUAGUUGGUAAGGUAACGGCUUACCAAGGCAACGAUGCAUAGCCGACCUGAGAGGGUGAUCGGCCACACUGGAACUGAGACACGGUCCAGACUCCUACGGGAGGCAGCAGUAGGGAAUCUUCCGCAAUGGGCGAAAGCCUGACGGAGCAACGCCGCGUGAGUGAUGAAGGUCUUCGGAUCGUAAAACUCUGUUAUUAGGGAAGAACAUAUGUGUAAGUAACUGUGCACAUCUUGACGGUACCUAAUCAGAAAGCCACGGCUAACUACGUGCCAGCAGCCGCGGUAAUACGUAGGUGGCAAGCGUUAUCCGGAAUUAUUGGGCGUAAAGCGCGCGUAGGCGGUUUUUUAAGUCUGAUGUGAAAGCCCACGGCUCAACCGUGGAGGGUCAUUGGAAACUGGAAAACUUGAGUGCAGAAGAGGAAAGUGGAAUUCCAUGUGUAGCGGUGAAAUGCGCAGAGAUAUGGAGGAACACCAGUGGCGAAGGCGACUUUCUGGUCUGUAACUGACGCUGAUGUGCGAAAGCGUGGGGAUCAAACAGGAUUAGAUACCCUGGUAGUCCACGCCGUAAACGAUGAGUGCUAAGUGUUAGGGGGUUUCCGCCCCUUAGUGCUGCAGCUAACGCAUUAAGCACUCCGCCUGGGGAGUACGACCGCAAGGUUGAAACUCAAAGGAAUUGACGGGGACCCGCACAAGCGGUGGAGCAUGUGGUUUAAUUCGAAGCAACGCGAAGAACCUUACCAAAUCUUGACAUCCUUUGACAACUCGAGAGAUAGAGCCUUCCCCUUCGGGGGACAAAGUGACAGGUGGUGCAUGGUUGUCGUCAGCUCGUGUCGUGAGAUGUUGGGUUAAGUCCCGCAACGAGCGCAACCCUUAAGCUUAGUUGCCAUCAUUAAGUUGGGCACUCUAAGUUGACUGCCGGUGACAAACCGGAGGAAGGUGGGGAUGACGUCAAAUCAUCAUGCCCCUUAUGAUUUGGGCUACACACGUGCUACAAUGGACAAUACAAAGGGCAGCGAAACCGCGAGGUCAAGCAAAUCCCAUAAAGUUGUUCUCAGUUCGGAUUGUAGUCUGCAACUCGACUACAUGAAGCUGGAAUCGCUAGUAAUCGUAGAUCAGCAUGCUACGGUGAAUACGUUCCCGGGUCU